UACGUAGGGUGCGAGCGUUGCCCGGAAUUAUUUGGGCGUAAAGAGCUUGUAGGCGGUCUGUCGCGUCUGCUGUGAAAAUCCGGGGCUCAACCCCGGACUUGCAGUGGGUACGGGCAGACUAGAGUGUGGUAGGGGAGACUGGAAUUCCUGGUGUAGCGGUGAAAUGCGCAGAUAUCAGGAGGAACACCGAUGGCGAAGGCGGUCUCUGGGCCACUACUGACGCUG
rnacentral:rRNA from 1 species